CAGCAGCCACGGGAAUACGUAGGGUGCGAGCGUUAAUCGGAAUUACUGGGUGUAAAGCGUGCGCAGGCGGUUCGUUAAGACAGAUGUGAAAUCCCCGGGCUCAACCUGGGAAUGGCAAUGGAUACUGGCGAGCUAGAGUGUGUCAGAGGAUGGUGGAAUUCCCGGUGUAGCGGUGAAAUGCGUAGAGAUCGGGAGGAACAUCAGUGGCGAAGGCGGCCAUCUGGGACAACACUGACGCUGAGGCACGAAAGCGUGGGGAGCAAACAGGAUUAGAUACCCCCGUAGUCCCUGUCUCUUAUAC
rnacentral:rRNA from 1 species